rnacentral:rRNA from 1 species
GACGAACGCUGGCGGCGUGCUUAACACAUGCAAGUCGAACGGAAAGGCCCUGCUUUUGUGGGGUGCUCGAGUGGCGAACGGGUGAGUAACACGUGAGUAACCUGCCCUUGACUUUGGGAUAACUUCAGGAAACUGGGGCUAAUACCGGAUAGGAGCUCCUGCUGCAUGGUGGGGGUUGGAAAGUUUCGGCGGUUGGGGAUGGACUCGCGGCUUAUCAGCUUGUUGGUGGGGUAGUGGCUUACCAAGGCUUUGACGGGUAGCCGGCCUGGGAGGGUGACCGGCCACAAUGGGACUGAGAUACGGCCCAGACUCCUACGGGAGACAGCAGUGGGGAAUAUUGCACAAUGGGCGGAAGCCUGAUGCAGCAACGCCGCGGGCGUGAUGACGGCCUUCGGGUUGUAAACCGCUUUCGCCUGUGACGAAGCGUGAGUGACGGUAAUGGGUAAAGAAGCACCGGCUAACUACGUG